rnacentral:rRNA from 1 species
UGAUGGCGUGCCUUUUGUAGAAUGAACCGGCGAGUUACGAUUGCAUGCGAGGUUAAGUUGAAGAGACGGAGCCGCAGCGAAAGCGAGUCUGAAUAGGGCGUUUGAGUAUGUAGUCGUAGACCCGAAACCAUGUGAUCUACCCAUGUCCAGGUUGAAGGUGCGGUAAAACGCACUGGAGGACCGAACCCACGUACGUUGAAAAGUGCGGGGAUGAGGUGUGGGUAGCGGAGAAAUUCCAAACGAACUUGGAGAUAGCUGGUUCUCUCCGAAAUAGCUUUAGGGCUAGCCUCGGAAUUGAGAAUGAUGGAGGUAGAGCACUGUUUGGACUAGGGGCCCAUCUCGGGUUACCGAAUUCAGAUAAACUCCGAAUGCCAUUCAUUCAUAUCCGGGAGUCAGACUGUGAGUGAUAAGAUCCAUAGUCGAAAGGGAAACAGCCCAGACCACCAGCUAAGGUCCCAAAAUAUAUGUUAAGUGGAAAAGGAUGUGGGGUUGCACAGACAACUAGGAUGUUGGCUUAGAAGCAGCCACCAUUUAAAGAGUGCGUAAUAGCUCACUAGUCGAGUGACCCUGCGCCGAAAAUGUACCGGGGCUAAACAUAUUACCGAAGCUGUGGAGUACACCUUUAGGUGUAUUGGU